UCCAGGCCCCGCCCCCAGGCGCUGCCUCGUCUCGGGUCUCUCGGAGGAGCAGCUGCGGCUCCGCUCCGGGGUCUGUGCUGGGGGGGCCCGUCAUUAACCCCCCCGUGCCCGGCCGGGGGGGGCUUUCUCCAGCUGGGACCAGCCCCUGGCUCUGCCCGCCCCCGACCCGGCUGCAGAACGACGCUCACGUUUCGUUCCGGUUCAUCCCGUCCUCCCAUGGGACAAGGGAGCGACAUGGCUGCAGAGGAGCCAGCUCAGGGGCCGGUGACCUUCGAGGAGGUGGCUGUGUAUUUCACCAGGGAAGAGGGGGCUCUGCUGGACCCCGCUCAGAGAGCCCUCUCCAGAGACGUCAUGCAGGAGACCUGUGAGACUGUGACCUCGCU